rnacentral:guide_RNA from 1 species
UUUAUAUAGGUAUGUAAUCUAU